CGCCCCUGUCAGGGGGACAACCCGCCGAAAGGCGGGCUAAACCCGCGUACAUGCCACCGGGGCAUCCCGGAGGCAGGAAAGGCUUCGGCCGGACAGGGAUGGGCAUGCGGCGCAUUAGGCAGUAGGCGGGGUAACGGCCCACCUAACCGACGAUGCGUAGGGGUUCUGAGAGGAAGGUCCCCCACACUGGUACUGAGACACGGACCAGACUCCUACGGAAGGCAGCAG
rnacentral:rRNA from 1 species